rnacentral:tRNA from 1 species
GCCCAAGUGGCGGAACUGGCAGACGCGCAUGAUUCAGGUUCAUGUCCAUGUAAAUGGGUGGAGGUUCGAAUCCUCUCUUGGGCA